AGCCUUGUAGCGUAAUGGAUAACGCACCAGACUUCUAGAAAGGUCAGCCAUCUGGGGAUUGCGGGUUCGACUCCCGUCAAGGUUA
rnacentral:tRNA from 1 species